rnacentral:lncRNA from 1 species
UGCCUCUCUUUUUGUUCUUUUUGGUACGAUACCCUCUUCUUUAAUAAGAAGGGGGCAAAAAGGUAAUGAACAAGUCGUGCACCAACAAUGCCAUCUGCUUGGGCCACCAUGGUGCAUAAAUGGAGGAGGAUGCGAGGACUAUAUUACUCCACGUACAUGCGAUUCUUGGAACUGGAAAUUUUUUUUGGUCCACUUUUAUAUCUAAGCCAUGGAUUGGAGAGCAUCG